CAGUUCCAUCGCUGCCGUGGCUGUGAGUGUGUUUCGGCGGCUACAUCUCAAUGUCGACGUUACGGGUAUUCUUCAGCUCGAUACAAGCAACCUGGUGACGUAGGGUUAACAGUUGACCGCAAAACCGUCAAAGAUGGCUCAGCGGCGGAUCCAAGUGGGGAUGAGAGAAGAAAUCGGCCAAUUCCUCACGAAGAAUAAUCGCGACGUCUGCUUGAGGUUCGCGCCAGUAGCAGUGCAGCGCUCGCGAGGUGGGAAGGCUACCCGUGCAGCGCAGUCUCGACAGCGAGGAGCGUUGUGCAGCCUCUACAGCGGUCGGCGGCGGCCAGAUGAGGUGGAGGUGAGGCAAGGACUGGUUUGUCCAGUGGCGCUGGACCCGCGUCACCGUGUUUACGGCGCUACUCUCCUGGAGGAGGGGAGAGUGGGGACAGAAAACACUCCUUGCAGCGCCACAUCGAAAACAAGGUCGGGACCACCAAACAGAGCUUCUUGGAUCGGAGAUAACCAGUUCCUAAUGCCGGUGACGAGCGGCAAAUUCCAUCGUGGGUAUUUGGAUACCAAAGCAGGAAUCUUGAGAGCGAACAGUUCCUAAUCGUAGUACUGCGGCGUGACGUCCUUGAUCAAACCCAAAACCUUGCGAAAGUGGAUAAUCCACGUCUCAAGACAGAGUAAUUUAGUUAAGCGUCUGCCCAGAAAUAUUUCAUCGAUGAUAGGCAACGUGCUAGCAACUUGUGACGGCCAUCCCACUUCUUUCACUUCCAUACUUACUGAUUACAAUACAAGCAUUAUGCUGAACACAUUUCCUUCAUUUAGCGUUACGUACCAUAGACGGUAGCAAAUUAGCAUAAAAGUAACUUAAUAUCGGCAACGAAUGGAACGAAAUUGUGUCUGGAAAGCAACUACUGUGACAGAAAUGGUCUUUGUUACGAGACUUCCAUCUUCAUUUUUUUAUCAAAUUUCGAGUGAGUAUUACGUCAUAAAUCAUGAAUACCAAUGAGUCUAAUUUGGGAGCCAGUCGCCACAGGCGUGGUGCAAGCCCGUCAAGGCCGUUCGGACUGGGUCCUUGGUGGCUCCGUAGCCGAACGUCGAGGACGCAGUCUGUGUUCUUGGCGAAAACUGUAACUUUAACCCUUUUAUCACAAAAUUGUUGCCAGAAAACUGUUUUCAAGAACCGCCUGUACCCGAAGGGAAUGCAAUGGCAUUCAAUUUCAUGUGUCUUUACUCCACGUCAAAUGCAGUAAUACCUUGUAAUGUGUUACAUAAUGCCACCUUCCUCAUUCCUUGUUAUUAGCAACUAAAAAUGAAAAUAUUAUAUGUGUGGCUUAUGACGAUCAUGAUAACACAUUAUUAUUACUAAUAUUCAAUCUAUUUAACAAUUAUUGUUGCAAUGUAGCGAAAUGUUAACACUCCUGCUACAUAAACAUUUUUUUCAAAAUGAUAAUAUCGAUGUGGGUGUGUGUGUUUACUUAUCAAUUAAUUAAUUUAAAAUACAUUAAGCAUCAUAUAAAAAUAAUUUACCUGUAAAUGGUCAGCAUGUAGCCAUAUUUUCGUUAAAAAUAUAUAAUUUUUGUAAAAUACUUCCCACAAUCCUCACGACAGCGGUAUACAACGAACAUGAUAAAUGGCAUAUGAAAAUAACUAGAUAAUGUGACAAUGUUACGAUGCUCUCUUGGGAUAAGAAAAUAAAGUAAAACAAAAUUAUUAUUAUUCUAAUCACGAAA